GGCUGGUCCGAGUGCAGUGGUGUUUACAACUAAUUGAUCACAACCAGUUACAGAUUUCUUUGUUCCUUCUCCACUCCCACUGCUUCACUUGACUAGCCUUNN
rnacentral:Y_RNA from 1 species